GCAACAUCUCGUUAGGCGAGGCUCCUGUAUAAACAAAGGCCACUGAUCUCACGACGUCGAGAGACGCCCAAGCUCAGGACAGUUUUCAUCGGAUUAAGGUGUAAACCCAAGUGGCUUCCGGCAUGCCGGAUACGUUAUACAGUGCUAAAGCUGGUACGUGGGGAUGAUGA
rnacentral:sRNA from 15 species